rnacentral:rRNA from 1 species
CCUACGGGUGGCAGCAGUGAGGAAUAUUGGUCAAUGGACGCGAGUCUGAACCAGCCAAGUAGCGUGAAGGAUGACUGCUCUAUGGGUUGUAAACUUCUUUUAUAAGGGAAUAAAACGAGGUACGUGUGCCUUUCUGCAAGUACUUUAUGAAUAAGGAUCGGCUAACUCCGUGCCAGCAGCCGCGGUAAUACGGAGGAUCCGAGCGUUAUCCGGAUUUAUUGGGUUUAAAGGGAGCGUAGAUGGGUUGUUAAGUUAGUUGUGAAAGUUUGAGGCUCAACCGUAAAAUUGCAUUUGAUACUGGCAGUCUAGAGUACAGUUGAGGUAGGCGGAAUUCGUGGUGUAGCGGUGAAAUGCUUAGAUAUCACAAAGAACCCCGAUUGCGAAGGCAGCUUACUAAGCU